ACAUUCCUAAUUGAGCUUUUCUUCAUGGAUGUAGAAUUAAAUACUUAGGCUCAAAAACAAAGAAAUAUUACUAAUAUGUAUGUAUUUUUUUUAGAAACAAGUCAAGUAACAUAUUCAAAUCAAAUCUCGACAAAAAUAGGGAUUAAAUUAAUUUAGGAGAUUUCAAAAAUAAUGGGUUAUGGGUUAAUAUUGAGGGUAAAUCAAUGAAUGGCUUGUUAAGCUCUAAGGGGUUCACUAAGGGUUAAUUAUGGAGGUAGGCUUUUAUGGAGUGAGUGGGUUAAACCUAGGUGCC
rnacentral:lncRNA from 1 species